UAGGGAAUCUUCGGCAAUGGGGGGAACCCUGACCGAGCAACGCCGCGUGAGUGAAGAAGGUUUUCGGAUCGUAAAGCUCUGUUGUUAAGGAAGAACGAGUGUGAGAAUGGAAAGUUCAUACUGUGACGGUACUUAACCAGAAAGGGACGGCUAACUACGUGCCAGCAGCCGCGGUAAUACGUAGGUCCCGAGCGUUGUCCGGAUUUAUUGGGCGUAAAGCGAGCGCAGGCGGUUAGAUAAGUCUGAAGUUAAAGGCAGUGGCUCAACCAUUGUAUGCUUUGGAAACUGUUUAACUUGAGUGCAGAAGGGGAGAGUGGAAUUCCAUGUGUAGCGGUGAAAUGCGUCGAUAUAUGGAGGAACACCGGUGGCGAAAGCGGCUCUCUGGUCUGUAACUGACGCUGAGGCUCGAAAGCGUGGGGAGCGAACAGG
rnacentral:rRNA from 1 species